rnacentral:rRNA from 1 species
AGCUUAUUGAUACUUAAUAAUAAGUGUAUUCUGCCCAGUGAUAUAUUUCAACGGCCGCGGUAUCCUGACCGUGCAAAGGUAGCAUAAUCAUUUGCCUUUUAAUUGGAGGCUAGAAUGAAUGAAUAAACGUAAAUCUAACUUUCCCUAAUUAUAAAAUAAAAAUUAUUCUUUAGGUGAAGAAACCUAAAUAAUAUAAAAAGACAAGAAGACCCUAUCAAGCUUUAUAUUUUUAACGUCCCUCUUUCUAAAAAUAUUUGGUUGGGGCGAUUAAUGGAGAUCCCUUCACCUCCAUAUACCUAUAGAUUUAUUAAUCUUCAAAUUUAAAAAUUUAAAACAAAAAAGCUACUGUAGGGAUAACAGGCUAAUAUCUUCUAAGAGUUCAAAUUAAAGAAGAUGAUUGGCACCUCGAUGUUGGCUUAGGACAACCCCUCCUUGCAGAAGAGGAGGAAAGUUAGUUUGUUCAACUAUUAAUUUCCU